UACGAAGGAUUCGAGCGUUAUCCGGAUUUAUUGGGUUUAAAGGGUGCGUAGGUGGUCUAAUAAGUCAGUGGUGAAAGCCCGCAGCUUAACUGCGGAACUGCCAUUGAUACUGCUAGUCUUGAGUACAGUUGAGGUGGGCGGAAUGUGUCAUGUAGCGGUGAAAUGCUUAGAUAUGACACAGAACACCGAUUGCGAAGGCAGGUCUCUGGGCAUUAACUGACGCUGAGGAGCGAAAGCAUGGGGAGCGAACAGG
rnacentral:rRNA from 1 species